ACAUGGAGCUGAGUAGGGAGCAAGGGUCUGGGCAACAGGGACUGAGGGCACCCCGAGGAAGAGUGGUCACCUUUACUGGGAAGUAAUUUCGGAAAUACUUCCAUAGGGUCCAGUUUCGUACCCAAGCUGAACGCCUGCCACCUGUGGGUACAGAAGGGAAGGGAAGAGUACACAGGGCAUUGCAGUCCCUCUACCUCUCCCAGAGGAGGAGAGUUCUGCCUGCAGUCCUCAGGUCACGUGAGGGGCCUCCUUCUGACACCUCAGAACUGCAGGCCUCUGAAGCCCCUGGAUCUGGGUCUCCUUGAUGGCCAAACUCUCAAUUGAAGAAAGAGCAGAACCAUGAAGUUGAGGUCAAAGGACAGCACGGCUUGGUGAAUGGGAAGAAGAGCACAUUGGGCUGGUAGCUGAAUCCCCAUUCUGGGACCUCUGGAAAUUCUUUCUAAAAGCUUGACCCUCUUUCCUGUGCUGAACUGAUAAGUCUGCAUAUUCCAGCAGGGAGGUUACCCGCAGUGUACAGGCUGUUUGAUGCUGAAAAGUAAACACGGAUUAAAAACCACUCCACUUUGGGAGGCCGAGGCAGGCAGAUCACGAGGUCAGGAGAUCGAGACCAUCCUGGCUAACACGGUGAAACCCCAUCUCUACUAAAGAUACAAAAAAUUAGCCGGGCAUGGUGGCACAUGAUUGGAGUGCUACUCGGGAGGUGGAGGCAGGAGAAUCGCUUGAACCCAGGAGGUGGAGGUUGCAGUGAGCUGAGAUCGUGCCAUUGCACUCCAGCCUGGGCAACAGAGCAAGACUCCGUCUUGAAAAAACAAAACAAAACAAAACAAACAACAACAACAACAACAAAACUGCCCUACUAGGCCAGGUGCGGUGGCUCACUCCUAUAAUCUUAGCAAUUUGGGAGGCCAAAGUGAGAGGACAGCUUGAACCUAGGAGUUUGAGACCAGCCUGGGCAACAAAGCAAGACAGUAUCUCUAAAAAACCAAAAAAACAAAAAACAAAACAACAACAACAAAAAACACUUUACUGUGUUCAUUUUGUUCCAUUCAAAAGUAUCACAAAGGUUCAGAAGGGGAAGUCUGUGUUAGCAAAUGGCCAUAGCAGGCUGUAACUGCAAACACGAUACAUGUUACAGCAGUGCGAAUGAAUUCCAUUUAAAAAAUCUGCAUUCAUGAGAAAGAGGGGCUAAGUAUACAUAUGGUGAAUAAAAAAAGACUUAGCUAAGGGAAUGACUUCUUUGACCAGGUACCAUGUCAUAGCAGAUAAAAGUUUCAGGGAAGAAGAAACUCGGGAGUUACCUACCAGUUCUUUGUCUCUUGCAUUUUGGACAUAAAUGAAAAUAGCAGGAAAAAGGCUGAGUGGACAGUGCUUUAAAAAGUCAUGUUAUGGAGUAGAAGAAACCUUUGUAAUAGGCUGAAUUGCCCUCAUAAGCACUGGUCGAGAUAGUUGUUGUAAGCAUUCAAAUUAGACAGGAAAGCGUGGUGGGAGGAGUUUUAUGGGAAGCCUGCCAUGGAGAAAAAGCCUUGCUAUCUAUGCCCUUCAUCAAAGAGGAGAGUAAAUUUGCCAGUUAAGCUUCAGAAGGAAAUUCAGAUAAAGUUAAAUAAGAAUAAUCACUAAUUAAAGUUAGCCUAAGUGUAUCAUUUCUUUUAUAUUUUGUUUCAAAUAAAUUUUGUUUGUUUCCCCAGUAUUUAGAAGAGAGCUUGGCACACAGUAGGUGUUCAACAAAUAUCUGUAGACCAAUUGAAAACGAAAUAAGCAAAUGUUUUCUCUUUUCAGUAGUAAACUUGAUAAUUACUAUUUAGUCAGCAUGUAUAGUGUUAUUUAAAUGUGAUGUUAUUUUAAAAGCAUAGACGGAUUAGUUGUGUGCCUUUUAUCUGAUUCAUUCAUCCACCAGUCCUAAAGGCGGUCUAAGAGCCCUUACCUGGGUAACACCAUCCCCCUUGUGGAACCUAUUGGAACUGCAGAUAUGACCCGGCAGGAGACGAGGAACGUUUUUUUCAGAGCAAGGCUUCCAGACCCAGCCCGAGUGUCAUCAGUGUCGUGCACGGUAACAAAAGUGGAAUUUAAAGAUAUAGGAGAAAUAGAAGCCAAAUGUGGAAGAGCUAAGUCUCAUGUAAAAAGAGUUCCGUGACAUAAAGCAAGGGUAUCUGAAGAAGGAAUGAUGAAGAACAAGCAUUUAUGUAUGUGUGACACUCCCUUAGGUAUUAUGGCCUUGACACCAGAAGAUGGUUCCAAUUUCUCUUGUCACGUUCAAGUGAGGCGUCUUGGAGAGGGUUAUCAAAGAGGAAGUUCACAUAGAUUGUGCUUUUGGUGUCAAACUGAAAGAACUCUUUGUCUAACCUCAUGUCAUGAAGAUUUUUCCCCUAUAUUUUCUUUUCUUUUCUUUCUUUCUUUUUUCUUUUUUUUUCUUUUUUCUUUCUUUUUUUUUUUUUUUUGAGACAGGAUCUGGUUCUGUCACCCAGACUGGCGUUCCAUGGCGUGAUCUCGGCUCAACUCACUGCAACCUCCGCUUCCUGGGCUCAAGCGAUCCCCCCACUUCAGCCUCCAGAGUGGCUGGGACUACAGGAGCAUGCCACCACACCCAGCCAAUUUAUUUUGUAUUUUUUUGUAGAGACAGGGUCUUGCUAUGUUGCCCUGGCUAGUUUCAAACUCCAGGUCUCAAGUGGUCCUCCUGCCUUAGCCUCCCAAAGUGCUGGGAUUACAGGUGUGAGCCACUGCCCCUGACCUCCCCUGUGUUUUCUACUAAACAUUUUACAGUUUUCUUUUUUUACAUUUAGAUCUACAAUACACUUCAAGUUCAUUUUUACCAGUUUUAUGGAGGUAUAAUUUACAAAUAAAAAUGGUGUAUAUUCAAUGUGCACAAUGUGAUGAUUUGAGACAGGUAUACAUUGUGUGAUGAUUACAACAAUCAAAUUAAUCAAUACAUUCACCACCAUACAUAGUUACCCUUUGUGUGUGUUUGUGGCUAGAGGUGAGGAUACUUAAGAUCCACUCAGCAAAUUUCAAGCAUAUAAUACAGUAUUAUUAAUGCU
rnacentral:lncRNA from 1 species